rnacentral:rRNA from 1 species
UACCAGACUCCUACGGGAGGCAGCAGUGGGGAAUAUUGCACAAUGGGGGAAACCCUGAUGCAGCGACGCCGCGUGAGCGAUGAAGUAUUUCGGUAUGUAAAGCUCUAUCAGCAGGGAAGAAGAUGACGGUACCUGACUAAGAAGCCCCGGCUAACUACGUGCCAGCAGCCGCGGUAAUACGUAGGGGGCAAGCGUUAUCCGGAUUUACUGGGUGUAAAGGGAGCGUAGACGGCGAUGCAAGCCAGAUGUGAAAGCCCGGGGCUCAACCCCAGGACUGCAUUUGGAACUGUGUGGCUGGAGUGUCGGAGAGGCAGGCGGAAUUCCUAGUGUAGCGGUGAAAUGCGUAGAUAUUAGGAGGAACACCAGUGGCGAAGGCGGCCUGCUGGACGAUGACUGACGUUGAGGCUCGAAAGCGUGGGGAGCAAACAGGAUUAGAUACCCUAGUA